ACUCAAGACCCAAACACCACUCAUCCGCCAACACGGCCCGCACACCCAGCACUCCCAGACGAACCGCGCCCCGCACGCCAAGACGCGUGCAGGCAAGCGGAAGCAUACGGGAGCGCCGAGCCAACGCCGCUGGGCAGGGUUCGGGGGAAGCGACGAAUAACAUUCAAGGGACAGCCAGAUGCGUGAGGUGCUUCGGGCGAUAGCCGAACAGCCGCACCGUCUUAAGCAACACGCCCA